rnacentral:rRNA from 1 species
UACGAAGGGGGCGAGCGUUGUUCGGAAUCACUGGGCGUAAAGGGCGCGUAGGCGGCCCUUCUUGUCGCGUGUGAAAGCCCCGGGCUCAACCUGGGAAUGGCGCGCGAGACGGGGGGGCUGGAGUUCGGGAGAGGAGCGUGGAAUUCCCAGUGUAGAGGUGAAAUUCGUAGAUAUUGGGAAGAACACCGGUGGCGAAGGCGGCGCUCUGGACCGAGACUGACGCUGAGACGCGAAAGCGUGGGGAGCAAACAGG